rnacentral:tRNA from 1 species
GUCCAGCUAGCUCAGUCGGUAGAGCAUGGGACUCUUAAUCCCAGGCUCAUAGGUUUGAGCCCCACAUUGGGUG